rnacentral:rRNA from 1 species
UACGGGGGGGGCAAGCGUUGUUCGGAAUUACUGGGCGUAAAGGGCGUGUAGGCGGUUUGUUAAGUUUGGCGUGAAAGCUCUCGGCUAAACCGGGAGAGGUCGUUGGAUACUGGCAAACUAGAGGACGGUAGAGGCGUGUGGAAUUCCGGGUGUAGUGGUGAAAUGCGUAGAGAUCCGGAGGAACACCAGUGGCGAAGGCGACACGCUGGGCCGUACCUGACGCUAAAGCGCGACAGCAUGGGGAGCAAACGGG